CGAAAAUAAUAUAUUAUAAUAAGUUCUCCAAUACCAUGCAUGCGCUAGAGCAGAUAAGAGAGGUGCACGGGGACUAACUAAUCCUGAAUUAACAUAUGACAAUAACAAAGUUCCCUGUACAGCACUAAGAAGAGCGCAAUUGUGCAGAGGGUCUGGAUUCAAACCCAGCUUUAAUUGCUUCUUUCCCUCCCUUAAAGAUGCGCAAUUAUAUCUAGGAUACAAAUUUUCCUCCCUUUUCCUGGAAAAGGAAGACUCACACAUACGCAACUCUGAUCAUACAAAAACACUAGAUUGAAAUUCAAAGAAGCUCUCAGAAACCUCUCUCCAAAAGAGACUAUCUUCCAUCUCAACUGAUGAGGAAGAUGUAUAGCUCGAAAAGACAUCAUCCACACUUACAUUGUCUAUCUUUAAACGUUCAGGUUUAUAGUUAUCAGGAACUUGGGUGGCUUCUUCACUUCUAUCCCAAGCAUCUAGAACUUUGGAAUCCUUCCCUGUCAAUUGUUGAACGAUUGCACGAAACUCUAAAGCAUUGGUAGCUCUAAACAUUGUUGGGUUGGAAAUAUAUGUAAUCUUGACUGGUUUUUUCUUGUGCUUGAUGGGUUUUCGCCUCAUAGGCUGCUGGUGUUGAAAGUACCGCUCACUAUUCUUAUCCAUUUGCAUAGAUUGGGGACUUGUGUUAUCGCAUUGCUGCUUUGCUUUGCAGGAUUUAAAUACAGGCGUGGAUAGGAGCGGGGAACUGAGCUUCCUAGAAGCAAGUACGUUGAAAAGAAGACAAAAUUGGAAAAAGGAAGAUGAUGACUGGAGAAAAUUUUAGCCAAACCACAUGUCUUAUAAUUUCCAGGUUUGGUGGCACUACGUACCAACUUUCU
rnacentral:misc_RNA from 1 species